rnacentral:rRNA from 1 species
UACGAAGGGGGCUAGCGUUGUUCGGAAUCACUGGGCGUAAAGGGCGCGUAGGCGGGCUCUUAAGUCGAGGGUGAAAUCCUGUGGCUCAACCACAGAACGUCCUUCGAUACUGGGAGCCUGGAGUUCGAGAGAGGUUGGUGGAAUUGCGAGUGUAGAGGUGAAAUUCGCAGAUAUUCGCAGGAACACCAGUGGCGAAGGCGACCAACUGGCUCGAUACUGACGCUGAGGCGCGAAAGCGUGGGGAGCGAACAGG